rnacentral:misc_RNA from 1 species
GAUGAAGAACGCAGCGAAAUGCGAUAAGUAAUGUGAAUUGCAGAAUUCAGUGAAUCAUCGAAUCUUUGAACGCACCUUGCGCCCUUUGGACAUUCCGAAGGGCAUGCCUGUUUGAGUAUCAUGAACACCUCAACUCUCACGGCUUGUCCGUGAUGAGCUUGGACUUUGGGGGUCUUGCCGGCCUAUGGUCGGCUCCUCUCAAAUGGAUCAGCUUGCCAGUGUUUGGUGGCAUCACAGGUGUGAUAACUAUCUGCGCUUGUGGUUUUCCAUCAGAUAACCUUCAGUGAUAUGGAGGUUCGCUGGAGCUCACAAAUGUCUCUCCUUAGUGAGGACAGCUCUUUGAACGUUUGAUCUCAAAUCAGGUAGGACUACCCGCUGAACUUAAGCAUAUCAAUAAGCGGAGGA